UUGAGAAUGAUGAGUGUUACUUGAGCUGGAUGUCAGAUCUGAAUACCAUCUGCCUUUUGGAAUGAGAUGACCACCACCAGCUCCUAAAAAGAAACUGUUCCCAGGCCCUGUUAAUGUUCUGACUUCAUCAUUUGGAUCCUGGCUGGCUAUGUGCUGCCUUGUGAAAUUUUGAUUAAAAUUUUGCCUUCCUGAAUUUUCUCCUUAAAGAAAAAAGGUGAAUCACUUCAAAGAGAAGGAACAGAUUCUCAUGGACCCCACUGCCCUGCAGGCCAGAUGGUUUGCUGCCAUUGUUUUCCUGUUACUUACUCUCAAACAGAGGUUCUAAUUCCUAUGGGCUUGGUGACCUUUGCUUUUAUAUCAUCCUGCAUAUACCCAAAUGAUUUGAAAAGACAUCAUUAUCAUGACAUGUCUCCGUAUAUUCAGGGCAACAGAAUACAUGAGAACCAGGAUCCCAAGACCAAAAUAGCCUUUUUGCUAAUUGAUUUUCUCUACUAUGAGUUUCAAUUGUUACGUAUUAAACUUAAACAUUAA